rnacentral:rRNA from 1 species
GAUGAACGCUGGCGGCGUGCCUAAUACAUGCAAGUCGAGCGAACAGACGAGGAGCUUGCUCCUCUGGCGUUAGCGGCGGACGGGUGAGUAACACGUGGAUAACCUACCUAUAAGACUGGGAUAACUUCGGGAAACCGGAGCUAAUACCGGAUAAUAUAUUGAACCGCAUGGUUCAAUAGUGAAAGACGGUUUUGCUGUCACUUAUAGAUGGAUCCGCGCCGCAUUAGCUAGUUGGUAAGGUAACGGCUUACCAAGGCAACGAUGCGUAGCCGACCUGAGAGGGUGAUCAGCCACACUGGAACUGAGACACGGUCCAGACUCCUACGGGAGGCAGCAGUAGGGAAUCUUGCGCAAUGGGCGAAAGCCUGACGGAGCAACGCCGCGUGAGUGAUGAAGGUCUUCGGAUCGUAAAACUCUGUUAUUAGGGAAGAACAAAUGUGUAAGUAACUAUGCACGUCUUGACGGUACCUAAUCAGAAAGCCACGGCUAACUACGUG